AAAGAAAAAAAAGACCAUGAACAAACUUUUUUUCACUGGAAGGCAGAAGUUUUUAAUGCACACUCAACAGGAGCAGGGUCACAUCCAAGCUUUCCCUGCAGAACUGCCAGCACACAAAAGCUGCUGUGGGUCCUUCCCUUGGCACUGGUGCAGCAGCUGGAGUGGGAGCAGGACAUCCCUGGGGAUCCCAUGAAAAUUGAGAAGCCCCUGUCCAGCAGCUUGGGAUUGCCACUGUGGAGACUGAACCUGCUGAGUGCGUCAGCUGCAAGCCAGAACAGCAUCUUUUAUCCAAAAAGUGGGUGAGUGCCUUUUCAAACCAUGAUCAACGGCCCCAUCUGCUUGGCAUGAGAAGUGGAGUCUCAGUCUUUGAUGAGAACUUGCAGGGCUCCAAGACCUUCCAUGGUCACUGGUGGGAGAUCACAUUCAGGCAACCCCAGGGAUCCUCCUGCUCUGGCAGCCUAUGGAUAAAAUCUGUGUGAGUGACUUAAAAGCCUCAAAAAAUU